UGGAUCACUCAAUCCUAAUAUUUUAUAUUCCAAUUAAAAUAGUGAGAGUACUAGAAGGUAGUGAGAUCGCAUAGGGAAUAAUGGAAACAGAAGUGGUUGAAGAUAUUGUGAUUGUGGGAGCUGGAAUUGCUGGCCUUACAACAUCCUUAGGACUUCACAAGUUGGGUAUCAGAAGUUUGGUGUUAGAAUCUUCAGACACUUUGAGGGUCACUGGGUUUGCUUUGUCAAUAUGGGAAAAUGCUUGGAAGGCAUUGGAUACUGUUGGUGUUGGAGACUUCCUCCGCCACCAACAUCUCCAGCUCAAUGGGAUUGUCACUACUUCAUUGGUUACAGGGCAACAAACAUCAGUUAUGCCUUUCACAGAAACAGGAAAUCAGCAAAGAAACCGUGAAAUUCGUUGUGUUAAAAGGAAGUUACUGUUGGAAGCUCUUGCCAAUGAACUUCCAAGUGACACCAUCAGAUACUUGUCAAAGGUUGUUGCUAUUGAGGAAUCUGGCUUCUACAAGAUUGUUCAUCUUGCUGAUGGCACAACCAUCAAAACCAAGGUAUUGAUCGGGUGUGAUGGAGUGAACUCCAUAGUAGCAAAGUGGCUAGGCUUCAAGAAUGCCUCUUUUACAGGGAGAUAUGCAAUUAGGGGUUGUGCAUAGGUUCAAAGCAAUCACGGGUUAGAACCCAGGUUCAUGCAGUUCUUUGGCAAAGGUUUUAGAGCUGGUGUUAUUCCUUGUGAUGGAAACGUUGUUUACUGGUUUUUCACUUGGACACCCAACAACCAAGACAAAGAGCUAGAAGAGAACCCUGCCAAACUGAAAGAACAUGUGCUAAACAAGCUUGAGAAUAUGCCAAGUGAUGUUAGAUACUACAUAGAAAAAACCGAAAUCGAUGCCUUCCAAUUAGCUCCAUUGAGAUAUAGACACCCUUGGGAGCUGAUGUUUGGGAAUAUUAGUAAAGGCAAUAUUUGUGUUGGUGGAGAUGCUUUCCACCCCAUGACUCCAGACCUUGGCCAGGGAGGGUGCUGUGCCUUAGAAGAUGGGAUUGUUUUAGCCAGGUGCCUAGCUGCGGCCUUCUCCAAACAUAUCAAAGAGAAGGAUGAAGAGGACCAAUUCAAAAGGAUUGAGGGAAGCUUGAAGAAAUAUGCAAAGGAGAGAAGAUGGAGAAGCAUUGAUGUCAUUGCUACAGCUUAUAUGGUGGGUUCUAUUCAGCAGGCUGAGUCCAAAUUGGUUACCUUUUUGAGGGACAACAUUUUGGCUGCAUUCUUAGCUAGUCAAUUGUUCAAGAAGUCGGGUUAUGAUUGUGGAAAACUAAACAAUAGUAACUCUUAGUGACACAGUUAUCUUGUAAGAUGCUCGGUCCGUCUGUGUUGUGUUGCCUUUCAUUUGGCCAUUUUAAUGAAUUUCUAGUCCUUGUUAUACUUUUUAUGUCAAUUUUUUUUCCUCGUUGUUAUUUGAAGUUGAUUGGUAAAGGUGCACUUAUAAGAC